rnacentral:rRNA from 1 species
GACGAACGCGGUGGCGUGCUAACACAUGCAAGUCGAACGCUAAGCUGGUGCUGCACGGGUGGAUGAGUGGCGAACGGGUGAGUAAUACGUGAGUAACCUGCCCUUGACUCUGGGAUAAGCCUGGAAACUGGGUCUAAUACGGAUAUGACAUGUCACCGCAUGGUGGUGUGUUGAAAGGGUUUUACUGGUUUUGGAUGGGCUCACGGCCUAUCAGCUUGUUGGUGGGGUAAUGGCUCACCAAGGCGACGACGGGUAGCCGGCCUGAGAGGGUGACCGGCCACACUGGGACUGAGACACGGCCCAGACUCCUACGGGAGGCAGCAGUGGGGAAUAUUGCACAAUGGGCGGAAGCCUGAUGCAGCGACGCCGCGUGAGGGAUGACGGCCUUCGGGUUGUAAACCUCUUUCAGCACGGAAGAAGCGAAAGUGACGGUACGUGCAGAAGAAGCGCCGGCUAACUACGUGCCAGCAGCCGCGGUAAUACGUAGGGCGCAAGCGUUGUCCUGAAUUAUUGGGCGUAAAGAGCUCGUAGGCGGUUUGUCGCGUCUGCUGUGAAAGCUCGGGGCUUAACCCCGGGUGUGCAGUGGGUACGGGCAGACUUGAGUGCAGUAGGGGAGACUGGAAUUCUUGGUGUAGCGGUGAAAUGCGCAGAUAUCAGGAGGAACACCGAUGGCGAAGGCAGGUCUCUGGGCUGUUACUGACGCUGAGGAGCGAAAGCAUGGGGAGCGAACAGGAUUAGAUACCCUGGUAGUCCAUGCCGUAAACGUUGGGCACUAGGUGUGGGGAACAUUCCACGUUUUCCGCGCCGUAGCUAACGCAUUAAGUGCCCCGCAUAGAGAUC